rnacentral:miRNA from 1 species
CCCUUGUGUCCUAUGUAAAGUCAUUAUUAUUAUUAUUAUUAUUAUUAAUAUUAAUAAUAAUAAUGACUUUACAUAGGACACAAGGGCAUGCCUU